rnacentral:rRNA from 1 species
UACAGAGGUGGCAAGCGUUGUUCGGAAUUACUGGGCGUAAAGGGCGCGUAGGCGGCCUUUCAAGUCCUGUGUGAAAUCCCUCGGCUCAACUGAGGAAUUGCACGGGAAACUGGUUGGCUUGAGUUCGGGAGAGGGAAGCGGAAUUCCGGGUGUAGCGGUGAAAUGCGUAGAUAUCCGGAGGAACACCGGUGGCGAAGGCGGCUUCCUGGACCGACACUGACGCUGAGGCGCGAAAGCGUGGGGAGCAAACAGG